UAUAAAAAUACUUUUUUCAGUAUCACAACUAAACAAAUACCUAUAACAAAACUGAAAGUGUGCGUUUGUUCAUAGUAUUUUACUAAAAUUAUAAAACGAAAGUCGGCUGUACUGAUUAAAAUUUGGCACGUAGACAGGUAUCAUCCUGGAGAUGGUUAUGAUUAAAUUGCUUUUUAUUCGAGUUUUUGUUUUGUGUUAGUUUUCGAGUUUGGAAUGGUCGUGCUUAGGAUAAGUCAUUCUUAUAGGUUGUUACUUUCUACAUAAUUUCGAAAAGGACUUUAUCCUUUAACUAGUGACGUGUAGUCUCACAGGCGUCGUGUAUUCGGUAAAUUCUUAGAUUUGACGAUUUCCCCCAUCUUGCCGCGACCCGGCGUCUCAGUAGCUUUUCUUUUAGUGCCAAAACGACCAUAGAAGGAAGCAGACGUGGCGUAAGAUAAAUAACAGUGUAAAAUGGCUGAAAACGCUAGGAAACGUGAACUUCAGCCGUCGACUUCAUCAAAAAGAAAAGUAUUACGAGUGGAUAUGAAGAGGAACUCAAUGCCCUCUUGCUAGCUUCAGACUAAUCAGACAGUGAAGGUGAUAUUGAAGAGUUUUUGGUUUCCGACCGUGAACUUUUGCAGUUACGUAAAAGUGACCAAGAUGAAGAUCUAGAGGAGAAGGUCUCAAGCAAUGUGGGGAGCGAGAUCACUAGAGAAGGAGAUAGCACUGAUAGUUCUGAUGAUGCCUUGCCUCUUUCGGAAUUACGAAAAUCGAAUUUUGUAAAAAUUGCCAAUGAUUUAUGCCAAACAGAGUGUGUGUCAGAAUUUUUAUGUUUUGUUUUCAGAAGUAGCUUUUAUGUUUUUUUUUAUCUUUGUAUUGUUUAAUUUUUAGUAAAAAGAGUUACAUAUGUCAUAUCAUUUAUGUAAGGUCUAUUAAAAUGUUAAAAUAAGGAUCUCAAGUCAAUUAAGGCUGAAAAGUACAAGUAAGUGUUAAUUAUCAUUUGUGUUUAAAGUGAUGAUAAAAACUGAUUGAAUUAA
rnacentral:lncRNA from 1 species